UACAGAGGUCCCGAGCGUUGUUCGGAUUCAUUGGGCGUAAAGGGUGCGUAGGCGGCGGGGCAAGUCUGAUGUGAAAUCCUGGGGCUCAACCUCAGAACUGCAUUGGAUACUGCCCUGCUAGAGUACUGGAGAGGGAACUGGAAUUUACGGUGUAGCAGUGAAAUGCGUGGAGAUCGUAAGGAAGGCCAGUGGCGAAGGCGAGUUCCUGGACAGUUACUGACGCUGAGGCACGAAGGCCAGGGGAGCAAACGGG
rnacentral:rRNA from 1 species